AGAGAGAGAGAGAGAGAGAGAGAGAGAGAGAGAGAGAGAGAGAGAGAGAGAGAGAGAUUCUUUAAUUAUUGCAGGAAAUGGGAUUCCUUCUCAGCACCGACAAUGACAUAGUGGAAGUCGAUCAGUUGCACCUGAGAUUUUCUUCAUUUUAAACACGCAUAACAUCACAAAAUAAAUAAAUAAAAUAAAUAAAUAAAUCAACUAAAGCUGAAAAUAAGAUCAGAUGCCUUUUUAUUACACACAGGACCAUUUCCCCAACACUGGGAACAAGGUUAUUUUGGUUCUCAGCAGAUUAACCUCUUAAUUAAACAAAUGACAAUUUAACAAAUUAAACCUGAAAAACAACGACAACAACAACAACAAAAAUAGUCAUGAAAUAAACAGUACAUUUACCAACCAAUGUUUCAUAUAUAAAAACAAAGCAAGCUUAAUAAAUAUUAUGAACAAAAAAAAACAACAACUAAGAAGUAAACAAUUAAUGCACAAUAUUAAUUUUUGGGCAAAUUUACAAAUAGUACAUUUAUAAGGAUUUGGUUUAGUAAAAGAAUCGUAGGCCAUUUGUUCAUUAUUUCCAUAAAUAACCCUAAUGUUAAUGCGAGGCUUGCAGAAACCAGGCAAUUCAGUCUAAACCCAAAUACUGUUAUUAUACGUUCAGUGUCUUGAAUUAGCUCCAAAAAUUCCUAAAGUGGUUCCGAAUAAGUGCUGAUCUGCGAUCAGGCGAGUCUCCGUUAGAUCCAAAACGAGUGGGAGAUGCAUGUCGAGAACACUGCAGUGUUACACAGCUCGAGAGUAAAGCCUUUCUGGGGACCUUUCUCCCAGUUAGUUCAGAACGUAAAACCUGACCACGCCCUUCAGUCUUAAAGCAAAAAAAACCUCAUGACAAAGUUUAAUAAAGGAUAAAGAAAUUCGCUCGUCACUUUCUAUGCGUCGCGUAUGGAAUCCUGACGAUCUCUAGUUUCGGUUCCGCUCAUAUCGUUGAUACUAAAGAGAAAGAAGCUCAUGAGUUCUGCUCAUUGGUUAGAGUGCAUUCAUGUGGCAAGCAAGUCAGUCCUAUCAGGCUGAGAGUGUGCUGCUGGCGGAGUGACGAAGUGGCG
ensembl:lncRNA